GGUGCUGAGUCCCGGUUCUCCUCACAGACCCAAGAGUUCACAGAGUGGAGCUGAAGACUUCACUGGAGCUGGAUCACCUCACCUGCAAACACUGAAACACUGAGUCCUCGGAGAUCCUGAGCUGGAGCUGAUUUGUUUUGUGAUUGUUUCCUCCUCGUCACUUCAGUCAAACCUGAAUCUUGAUCUUGAGUUGGUAGAGCAAACUGGUUUUCUCUGCUUGUUCCAGGAAUUUCCAGUUAAAGCAAAGAUCAGAACGGAUAUACUGUCAGUCACACACUAGAUUAGUAUUAGUGUUGUAAAAUACUUCUGAACAAACACUGGCAGAUAGAUAGAGGCCAUACAAAAAAAAAAAAAUCAGUUCUGUUCUGUAGCGGAGGGUCUCCAAAGUGUGCAUUUCUCUGUGGACAGAGCAGAGAUGCGGAGAGGAGGUCCAGCAUUUAAAACUGACAACCUGAGGUGUUCUUUAGUAAACUGGACUAUCCAACAGACUGACCCGAGGCCCCACUGCAAUAUUUUCGUACUCAGGCAGCAGCUCAAACACCGGUGAUAAUACAUCCCUAUGUUCUGGCCACAUUGCAGCAGACUGAACCAGGACUGGAAACCUACUCCUGUCACGGUCUGCUGGGGCAAGCCGUCAUAUAGCCGAAUUAUUUAGGACCAGGAAGCGGCAGCUCAGGUGCAGGAGCUGCCCUCAGAUUCAGACCUCAGCACCACCCAGUGACAACAGACAGAUCAUCCUAUAUCUUCACUCUUUGUAGUAACUCCAAAAUUAAGUGAUGAAAAAAAUGGUGUUUCAGAAAGCUGCUGAACACUGAAUGUACUCAGCUGCAUGAAGAGACAUGAGAUUUUCUUUGACACAAAUAAAUAAAACCUGAUGAAGCUCAAAGGUCAUCACUUGUAUGUUGAACUAAAACUUCUGAUCUGGAAUUUAACAAAUUACCUAUUACCAGGUCAAAAUACCAGCUCUCAAUCCCUCCAAUCCCUCCGCUAAGCUCCAUGAAGACAUUGUUUACUCGUUGGAAUUUCUGUGCCAGCACUCUCCAUUGAGGAAUACAAGGAUGAGAUAGCUCUUCGUUUACAGAGGAUGAUUUCAGAACUUUCUUGGUUAUUCAG